UGGCUCUGGCAUCGAUGAAGAACGCAGCGAAACGCGAUAAGUAAUGUGAAUUGCAGAAUCCAGUGAAUCAUCGAAUCUUUGAACGCACAUUGCGCCCGCCAGCAUUCUGGCGGGCAUGCCUGUUCGAGCGUCAUUACAACACUCGACUUCCCGGGCCCAGCCCGUGGAAGUCGGCAUUGGGGAUCGGCAGCACACCGCCGGCCCUGAAAUGGAGUGGCGGCCCGUCCGCGGCGACCUCUGCGUAGUAAUCCAACUCGCACCGGAACCCCGACGUGGCCACGCCGUAAAACACCCAACUUCUGAACGUUGACCUCGAAUCAGGUAGGACUACCCGCUGA
rnacentral:misc_RNA from 1 species